UACGUAGGGUGCAAGCGUUGUCCGGAAUUAUUGGGCGUAAAGAGCUUGUAGGCGGUUUGUCGCGUCUGCCGUGAAAAUUCGAGGCUCAACCCCGGACUUGCAGUGGGUACGGGCAGACUAGAGUGUGGUAGGGGAGACUGGAAUUCCUGGUGUAGCGGUGAAAUGCGCAGAUAUCAGGAGGAACACCAAUGGCGAAGGCAGAUCUCUGGGCCGUAACUGACGCUGAGGAGCGAAAGCAUGGGGAGCGAACAGG
rnacentral:rRNA from 1 species